CGGCGCCCCGCAGGAGAGAGGGGCAGCCGCUGCCCUCGCCGAAGGCGCAAACUCCCAUAAUCGCUCAGGCAAAGGAACUGCGGGAUCACG
rnacentral:ncRNA from 2 species